AGUGAACGCUGGCGGUAGGCCUAACACAUGCAAGUCGAACGGCAGCACAGUAAGAGCUUGCUCUUACGGGUGGCGAGUGGCGGACGGGUGAGGAAUACAUCGGAAUCUACUUUUUCGUGGGGGAUAACGUAGGGACACUUACGCUAAUACCGCAUACGACCUACGGGUGAAAGCAGGGGAUCUUCGGACCUUGCGCGAUUCAAUGAGCCGAUGUCGGAUUAGCUAGUUGGCGGGGUAAAGGCCCACCAAGGCGACGAUCCGUAGCUGGUCUGAGAGGAUGAUCAGCCACACUGGAACUGAGACACGGUCCAGACUCCUACGGGAGGCAGCAGUGGGGAAUAUUGGACAAUGGGCGCAAGCCUGAUCCAGCCAUACCGCGUGGGUGAAGAAGGCCUUCGGGUUGUAAAGCCCUUUUGUUGGGAAAGAAAAGCAGCAGGUUAAUACCCCGCUGUUCUGACGGUACCCAAAGAAUAAGCACCGGCUAACUUCGUG
rnacentral:rRNA from 1 species